rnacentral:rRNA from 1 species
AACGUAGGAGACGAACGUUAUCCGGAGUUACUGGGCGUAAAGGGCGUGUAGGCGGUUUGUUAAGUCUGGCGUGAAAGCUCUCGGCUAAACCGGGAGAGGUCGUUGGAUACUGGCGAACUUGAGGAUGGUAGAGGCGUGUGGAAUUCCGGGUGUAGUGGUGAAAUGCGUAGAGAUGUGGAGGAACACCGAUGGCGAAGGCAGCCUUCUGGGCCAACACUGACGCUCAUGCACGAAAGCGUGGGGGGCAAACAGG